rnacentral:lncRNA from 1 species
UUGGUGACAAUAUACGGUCCAUCAUAGUUAGGAGUCCACUUGCCCCUGUGAUCUGUCUGAGGAGGAAGGAUCCUUUUCAACACCAAAUCUCCGACUUGGAAACAUCGAGGAUGCACUUUCUGAUCAAAGGCUCUCUUCAUCCGACUCUGAUACAACUGCCCAUGACAAAUGGCUGCCAUUCGCUUCUCUUCGAUAAGACUCAACUCAUUGAACCUUGUC